GUAAUCGAUUUAGUUGCGCAUCAGCUGCUGGUUGAAAAGCACUCACAUGGACACACAGGAGGAGUUGGAUAAAAAAUAUAUAGGUUGUUCGCCCAGCCACAGAAUCAACAGGCAGAGGCUUGGCUAAUUACACGCCGCGGUGCCAGUUAUUGACAUAUUGAUAUACUGGCUACACAUAACACAUGGCACAUGGCCAAACUAAACCAGAGCCCGCGCUGCUUCUAUGGGCCAACAUAAACGGUUUUGGCCACAUCAACGUCAUCUCUAAUUGGCUGCCAGCUCGUAAGCGGAAUUUGCAAUGCGUGGGCGGGUGUUGGCUGCCACAACAGCCGGAUCUGCCACGUUGCACGUUGCUGCCUGUUAAAUAAUUCAAAAUAAAACAUAAAAUGCUGACGACUUUUGUUGACAGAGAUUUGCAGCCAGGUGAAAGGCCACAGGCAACAAUUGGAGAGGGCGCGGGCGCACAUAUGAAUGUGGCAGCUGACACGGCGUUUAAGAUCUGGAUCAGUCAUGCAAUCGAAUGUGGAUUGUCGAGUGGGCAACUCGUGUCAUGUGCCACAUGUGGGCAACAGCAGUUGAUGAAAGGAUUGGCAGCAGGAAUGGUUGUUGUUGGUACAGUUCGAUGGGUAUUAUGUCAUUAUGUGUUGCAAAAGAGAGAGUGGAAAUUCGCAGGAAAAACUGACGUGGAAAAAUAUAAACCUAAUUUACAAUGCA